rnacentral:rRNA from 1 species
UCCUACGGGAGGCAGCAGUAGGGAAUCUUCGGCAAUGGACGAAAGUCUGACCGAGCAACGCCGCGUGAGUGAAGAAGGUUUUCGGAUCGUAAAACUCUGUUGUUAGAGAAGAACAAGGAUGAGAGUAAAAUGUUCAUCCCUUGACGGUAUCUAACCAGAAAGCCACGGCUAACUACGUGCCAGCAGCCGCGGUAAUACAA